rnacentral:rRNA from 1 species
AUGAAGCUGGAAUUGCUAGUAAUGGCAGGUCAGCAUACUGCCGUGAAUACGUUCCCGGGGCCUUGUACACACCGCCCGUCACACCAUGAGAGUUGGGAAUACCCGAAGCCUGUGAGCUAACUUAUAGAGGCAGCAGUCGAAGGUAGAAUCAAUGAUUGGGGUGAAGUCGUAACAAGGUACC